UCGACUUCUCCUUCGUCUUCUCUCCCUCACCUCUGCAAACUACUCCCUGCCAUCGCCACCACCUCUUCCGCAACCACUCCACCUGCCAUAACCACCCUAUAUCACCCAACAACCAAAACCCAUCAUCACCACUGACCUUCCCCACUAACUAUCAGUCGAGUUCAUCGAUUUCACACCCUUCUUCUCACUGUUGGCGUGUAAAAGUGAUGAACUAGGUUGAUGGCUAUGAAGCUAGAGUUCGAGCAUGGAUAGGAGGAUGGAGUGGAGCAGUAUCACACAUUAUGGGUACCAGGUACCUGCUGUGGUGCUACUGAACUAGGUGCUGCUGUUGAUCCAGGCCAAGGCUGGAAGGGAGAGCAGCAGGUCUUGUAGCUUGUGGUGCUAUCUGUGGUGUUGUGAAGGCCAAGGAGGAGAUUGGAGAGCUUCGGUUGUGGGCUGAAGCUUACCCAGCUAAGCAGACAACCCAGUUCACUGGGUUUGGGGUAUCGUAUUCUCCCAUUACAAAUUCUGGCCUUGUAGCAAAUUCUGUUUCUUAAACUUCGAGAACCCAAGUUAAAACUUGCUUCUGAGUUGUAGGCUUGAACCCAUUUGUAAAACUGAGUUUCUGAACUGUGGGCUUGACCCAAACUAAAUUUGAAAAA